AUUGAACGCUGGCGGCAGGCCUAACACAUGCAAGUCGAGCGAGCGGCGGACGGGUGAGUAAUGUAUGGGGACUGCCCGAUAGAGGGGGAUAACUACUGGAAACGGUAGCUAAUACCGCCUAUUAUCGGAUAACCCAUAUGGGAUGAGCUACUAGGUGAGGUAAUGGCUCACCUGGGCGACGAUCCCUAGCUGGUCUGAGCGGAUGAUCAGUGACACUGGGAUGGGGACACGGCCCAGACGCCUCCGGGGUGAGCAGUGGGGAAUGUUGGACAAUGGGCACAAGCCUGAUGCGGCCGUGCCGCGUGUAUGAAGAAGGCGCUGGGGUUUUAAAGUACGUUCAGUCGGGAGGCGUUACCGACAGAAGAAGCACCGGCUAACUCCGUGCCAGCAGCCGCGGUAAUUC
rnacentral:rRNA from 1 species